rnacentral:misc_RNA from 1 species
AACGCACGAGACCUGCGGACCUGCGGAAGGAUCAUUAUCGAGUGUAACCUACCCUGUAAAAAGGGUGAUACCUCCCGUCCUUUGCAGGCCCUCUUUUUAUGGGGGCUUUUUAAGACCUUCUGCUUCGGCGGGGUUACUCCAGCCGGAACACCCUCAAAAACUCUUGAUCAAAAACAGUUCAGUCCGAGAAUUUUUGAAAAAUAAAAAAAACUUUCAACAAUGGAUCUCUAGAUCGGAAGA